rnacentral:rRNA from 1 species
CUGUUUUAUGUACCUCUUCUCAUUUUUUACACCCGGUCUUAUCCUUCGAUAUUAUGUUACUUGUCUUCCACAGUUAUAGUGGUGUAACAACGGUUUUCAACUUUUGUUUAGUCAUGAAGAAACACGAACAUAGGUAAAAGAUCUAGCCGAUGUUGUUGUUUACCUCUUACAAGAUGGUUUACUCAGUCUUACAAGAUACAUUGCUCAGGUGGUUUGGUUUAUAGUCUUAUAAAAUAAACAUGCUAGUUUCCCUCCAGGUUUCUUAUAAAGUUCGAUCCAACUGUAUGUAUGUAUUUAAAACGUCUGGGAUAAAAGUUCAUUUUAAAUUUUCCUCUGAUGUUCAGAUACGGGGUGUACCUGAACUUUCAAACGGAGAGGGUUUUCUUGUUACAGGAAUGUAAAGAAAAGAUCAUAAAGUCAUUUGUUUACCGGUGGUUGUUGGUUCCUUUACAACUACACUCGGUUCGGAUCACUCCUUACGAUCUUAUCAUCGUCGUCGCCUUAACGUGAAGAAGUUUCCGAUGAUUACCUUAGGUGCCAUUUUAAU